rnacentral:piRNA from 1 species
UGACAGACCAAUGAGAAUAGUGCGUGCUU